rnacentral:misc_RNA from 1 species
CUGAGUUAGGGUCUGCAUAGGCCCGACCUCCCAACCCUUGUGCUUAACAAAACAUUAUUGCUUCGGCGGGCCCGCUCCUCUGGGAGCCGCCGGGCCUCUACUUCGAGGUCUGGUCCGUGCCCGCCGGUGGCCCAAUCUUAAACUCUUGAUGAAACGUGUCGUCUGAGUACCAAAAUUUAAUUAAAAUUUA